UACACUCCUGCGGGAGGCAGCAGUGGGGAAUAUUGGACAAUGGGCGCAAGCCUGAUCCAGCCAUGCCGCGUGAGUGAUGAAGGCCCUAGGGUUGUAAAGCUCUUUCACCGGAGAAGAUAAUGACGGUAUCCGGAGAAGAAGCCCCGGCUAACUUCGUGCCAGCAGCCGCGGUAAUACGCAGGGGGCUAGCGUUGUUCGGAAUUACUGGGCGUAAAGCGCACGUAGGCGGAUCGAUCAGUCAGGGGUGAAAUCCCAGGGCUCAACCCUGGAACUGCCUUUGAUACUGUCGAUCUGGAGUAUGGAAGAGGUGAGUGGAAUUCCGAGUGUAGAGGUGAAAUUCGUAGAUAUUCGGAGGAACACCAGUGGCGAAGGCGGCUCACUGGUCCAUUACUGACGCUGAGGUGCGAAAGCGUGGGGAGCAAACAGGAUUAGAAACCCGGGUAGUCCCAUGAU
rnacentral:rRNA from 1 species